rnacentral:rRNA from 1 species
UUCGGGGCUCCUUGGUGAUUCAUGAUAACUUAACGAAUCGCAUGGCCCUUGCGCCGGCGAUGGUUCAUUCAAAUUUCUGCCCUAUCAACUUUCGAUGGUAGGAUAGUGGCCUACCAUGGUAUCAACGGGUAACGGGGAAUUAGGGUUCUAUUCCGGAGAGGGAGCCUGAGAAACGGCUACCACAUCCAAGGAAGGCAGCAGGCGCGCAAAUUACCCAAUCCCGACACGGGGAGGUAGUGACAAUAAAUACUGAUACAGGGCUCUUUUGGGUCUUGUAAUUGGAAUGAGUACAAUUUAAAUACCUUAACGAGGAACAAUUGGAGGGCAAGUCUGGUGCCAGCAGCCGCGGUAAUUCCAGCUCCAAUAGCGUAUAUUAAAGUUGUUGCAGUUAAAAAGCUCGUAGUUGAACCUUGGGCCUGGCUGGCCGGUCCGCCUCACCGCGUGUACUGGUCCGGCCGGGCCUUUCCUUCUGGGGAACCGCAUGCCCUUCACUGGGUGUGCUGGGGAACCAGGACUUUUACUUUGAAAAAAUUAGAGUGUUCAAAGCAGGCCUUUGCUCGAAUACAUUAGCAUGGAAUAAUAGAAUAGGACGUGCGGUCCUAUUUUGUUGGUUUCUAGGACCGCCGUAAUGAUUAAUAGGGAUAGUCGGGGGCGUCAGUAUUCAAUUGUCAGAGGUGAAAUUCUUGGAUUUAUUGAAGACUAACUACUGCGAAAGCAUUCGCCAAGGAUGUUUUCAUUAAUCAGUGAACGAAAGUUAGGGGAUCGAAGACGAUCAGAUACCGUCGUAGUCUUAACCGUAAACUAUGCCGACUAGGGAUCGGACGAUGUUAUUAUUUUGACUCGUUCGGCACCUUACGAGAAAUCAAAGUC